rnacentral:rRNA from 1 species
UUAAGUUAGAAAGGGCGCACGGUGGAUGCCUUGACACUAGGAGUCGAUGAAGGACGGGACUAACGCCGAUAUGCUUCGGGGAGCUGUAAGUAAGCUUUGAUCCGAAGAUUUCCGAAUGGGGAAACCCACCAUACGUAAUGGUAUGGUAUCCUUAUCUGAAUACAUAGGGUAAGGAAGACAGACCCAGGGAACUGAAACAUCUAAGUACCUGGAGGAAGAGAAAGCAAAUGCGAUUUCCUGAGUAGCGGCGAGCGAAACGGAACAUAGCCCAAACCAAGAGGCUUGCCUCUUGGGGUUGUAGGACAUUCUAUACGGAGUUACAAAGGAACGAGGUAGACGAAGCGACCUGGAAAGGUCCGUCGUAGAGGGUAACAACCCCGUAGUCGAAACUUCGUUCUCUCUUGAAUGUAUCCUGAGUACGGCGGAACACGUGAAAUUCCGUCGGAAUCUGGGAGGACCAUCUCCCAAGGCUAAAUACUCCCUAGUGAUCGAUAGUGAACCAGUACCGUGAGGGAAAGGUGAAAAGCACCCCGGAAGGGGAGUGAAAGAGAUCCUGAAACCGUGUGCCUACAAAUAGUCAGAGCCCGUUAACGGGUGAUGGCGUGCCUUUUGUAGAAUGAACCGGCGAGUUACGAUCCCGUGCGAGGUUAAGCUGAAGAGGCGGAGCCGCAGCGAAAGCGAGUCUGAAUAGGGCGUUUAGUACGUGGUCGUAGACCCGAAACCAGGUGAUCUACCCAUGUCCAGGGUGAAGUUCAGGUAACACUGAAUGGAGGCCCGAACCCACGCACGUUGAAAAGUGCGGGGAUGAGGUGUGGGUAGCGGAGAAAUUCCAAUCGAACCUGGAGAUAGCUGGUUCUCCCCGAAAUAGCUUUAGGGCUAGCCUUAAGUGUAAGAGUCUUGGAGGUAGAGCACUGAUUGGACUAGGGGUCCUCAUCGGAUUACCGAAUUCAGUCAAACUCCGAAUGCCAAUGACUUAUCCUUAGGAGUCAGACUGCGAGUGAUAAGAUCCGUAGUCAAAAGGGAAACAGCCCAGACCGCCAGCUAAGGUCCCAAAGUGUGUAUUAAGUGGAAAAGGAUGUGGAGUUGCUUAGACAACUAGGAUGUUGGCUUAGAAGCAGCCACCAUUUAAAGAGUGCGUAAUAGCUCACUAGUCGAGUGACUCUGCGCCGAAAAUGUACCGGGGCUAAAUACACCACCGAAGCUGCGGAUUGAUACCAAUGGUAUCAGUGGUAGGGGAGCGUUCUAAGGACAGUGAAGUCAGACCGGAAGGACUGGUGGAGUGCUUAGAAGUGAGAAUGCCGGUAUGAGUAGCGAAAGACGGGUGAGAAUCCCGUCCACCGAAUGCCUAAGGUUUCCUGAGGAAGGCUCGUCCGCUCAGGGUUAGUCAGGACCUAAGCCGAGGCCGACAGGCGUAGGCGAUGGACAACAGGUUGAUAUUCCUGUACCACCUCUUUAUCGUUUGAGCAAUGGAGGGACGCAGAAGGAUAGAAGAAGCGUGCGAUUGGUUGUGCACGUCCAAGCAGUUAGGCUGAUAAGUAGGCAAAUCCGCUUAUCGUGAAGGCUGAGCUGUGAUGGGGAAGCUCCUUAUGGAGCGAAGUCUUUGAUUCCCCGCUGCCAAGAAAAGCUUCUAGCGAGAUAAAAGGUGCCUGUACCGCAAACCGACACAGGUAGGCGAGGAGAGAAUCCUAAGGUGUGCGAGAGAACUCUGGUUAAGGAACUCGGCAAAAUGACCCCGUAACUUCGGGAGAAGGGGUGCUUUCUUAACGGAAAGCCGCAGUGAAUAGGCCCAAGCGACUGUUUAGCAAAAACACAGCUCUCUGCGAAGCCGUAAGGCGAAGUAUAGGGGGUGACACCUGCCCGGUGCUGGAAGGUUAAGGAGAGGGGUUAGCGUAAGCGAAGCUCUGAACUGAAGCCCCAGUAAACGGCGGCCGUAACUAUAACGGUCCUAAGGUAGCGAAAUUCCUUGUCGGGUAAGUUCCGACCCGCACGAAAGGUGUAACGAUUUGGGCACUGUCUCAACCAGAGACUCGGUGAAAUUAUAGUACCUGUGAAGAUGCAGGUUACCCGCGACAGGACGGAAAGACCCCGUGGAGCUUUACUGUAGCCUGAUAUUGAAUUUUGGUACAGUUUGUACAGGAUAGGCGGGAGCCUUUGAAACCGGAGCGCUAGCUUCGGUGGAGGCGCUGGUGGGAUACCGCCCUGACUGUAUUGAAAUUCUAACCUACGGGUCUUAUCGACCCGGGAGACAGUGUCAGGUGGGCAGUUUGACUGGGGCGGUCGCCUCCUAAAGUGUAACGGAGGCGCCCAAAGGUUCCCUCAGAAUGGUUGGAAAUCAUUCGUAGAGUGCAAAGGCAUAAGGGAGCUUGACUGCGAGACCUACAAGUCGAGCAGGGACGAAAGUCGGGCUUAGUGAUCCGGUGGUUCCGCAUGGAAGGGCCAUCGCUCAACGGAUAAAGCUACCCCGGGGAUAACAGGCUUAUCUCCCCCAAGAGUCCACAUCGACGGGGAGGUUUGGCACCUCGAUGUCGGCUCAUCGCAUCCUGGGGCUGUAGUCGGUCCCAAGGGUUGGGCUGUUCGCCCAUUAAAGCGGUACGCGAGCUGGGUUCAGAACGUCGUGAGACAGUUCGGUCCCUAUCCGUCGUGGGCGUAGGAAAUUUGAGAGGAGCUGUCCUUAGUACGAGAGGACCGGGAUGGACGCACCGCUGGUGUACCAGUUGUUCUGCCAAGGGCAUAGCUGGGUAGCUAUGUGCGGAAGGGAUAAGUGCUGAAAGCAUCUAAGCAUGAAGCCCCCCUCAAGAUGAGAUUUCCCAUAGCGUAAGCUAGUAAGAUCCCUGAAAGAUGAUCAGGUUGAUAGGUUCGAGGUGGAAGCAUGGUGACAUGUGGAGCUGACGAAUACUAAUAGAUCGAGGACUUAACCAU